CGGGUAGUAGCGCAGCUGGUAGCGUGCUAGGUUCGGGACUUAGAGGUCGCGGGUUCAAAUCCCGCCUACCCGA
rnacentral:tRNA from 1 species